UUUCCGUAGGUGAACCUGCGGAAGGAUCAUUAUCGUACAAAAUGUGGGCGGCAUACAAGGGCAAUCGCUGACCCAAAAGUCGUUCACGCCCGACUGGGUCCUCUUGCCUAAUAAUCCAUCUCCCCCUUUGUGCAUCACCGCGUUGGCACCCUUCGGGAUCAUCUCGGUGGGGGGCUCCCGUUUUCACACAAACCCCCCUCUUAAAAGUGUAGAAUGGUCACAUUUAUGAAAUAAAUACAACUUUCAACAACGGAUCUCUUGGCUCUG
rnacentral:misc_RNA from 1 species